GAUGAAGAACGCAGUGAAAUGCGAUAAUUAAUGUGAAUUGCAGAAUUCAGUGAAUCAUCGAGUCUUUGAACGCACAUUGCGCCCCCUGGUAUUCCGGGGGGCAUGCCUGUCCGAGCGUCAUUGCUGCCCUCAAGCACGGCUUGUGUGUUGGGCUUCCGUCCCUGGCAACGGGGACGGGCCCAAAAGGCAGUGGCGGCACCAUGUCUGGUCCUCGAGCGUAUGGGGCUUUGUCACCCGCUCCCGUAGGUCCAGCUGGCAGCUAGCCUCGCAACCAAUCUUUUUAACCAGGUUGACCUCGGACCAGGUAGGGAUACCCGCUGAACUUAAGCAUAUCAAUAAGCGGAGGA
rnacentral:misc_RNA from 1 species